CAGUCGAACGGUGAAGCAGAGCUUGCUCUGUGGAUCAGUGGCGAACGGGUGAGUAACACGUGAGCAAUCUGCCCCUGACUCUGGGAUAAGCGCUGGAAACGGCGUCUAAUACCGGAUACGAGCUGCGAUCGCAUGGUCAGUAGCUGGAAAGAAUUUCGGUCAGGGAUGAGCUCGCGGCCUAUCAGCUUGUUGGUGAGGUAAUGGCUCACCAAGGCGUCGACGGGUAGCCGGCCUGAGAGGGUGACCGGCCACACUGGGACUGAGACACGGCCCAGACUCCUACGGGAGGCAGCAGUGGGGAAUAUUGCACAAUGGGCGAAAGCCUGAUGCAGCAACGCCGCGUGAGGGAUGACGGCCUUCGGGUUGUAAACCUCUUUUAGCAGGGAAGAAGCGAAAGUGACGGUACCUGCAGAAAAAGCGCCGGCUAACUACGUGCCAGCAGCCGCGGUAAUACGUAGGGCGCAAGCGUUAUCCGGAAUUAUUGGGCGUAAAGAGCUCGUAGGCGGUCUGUCGCGUCUGCUGUGAAAACCCGAGGCUCAACCUCGGGCCUGCAGUGGGUACGGGCAGACUAGAGUGCGGUAGGGGAGAUUGGAAUUCCUGGUGUAGCGGUGGAAUGCGCAGAUAUCAGGAGGAACACCGAUGGCGAAGGCAGAUCUCUGGGCCGUAACUGACGCUGA
rnacentral:rRNA from 1 species